rnacentral:rRNA from 1 species
GACGAACGCUGGCGGCGUGCUUAACACAUGCAAGUCGAACGGAAAGGCCCUGCUUUUGUGGGGUGCUCGAGUGGCGAACGGGUGAGUAACACGUGAGUAACCUGCCCUUGACUUUGGGAUAACUUCAGGAAACUGGGGCUAAUACCGGAUAGGAGCUCCUGCUGCAUGGUGGGGGUUGGAAAGUUUCGGCGGUUGGGGAUGGACUCGCGGCUUAUUAGCUUGUUGGUGGGGUAGUGGCUUACCAAGGCUUUGACGGGUAGCCGGCCUGAGAGGGUGACCGGCCACAUUGGGACUGAGAUACGGCCCAGACUCCUACGGGAGGCAGCAGUGGGGAAUAUUGCACAAUGGGCGGAAGCCUGAUGCAGCAACGCCGCGUGCGGGAUGAAAGCCUUCGGGUUGUAAACCGCUUUCGCCUGUGACGAAGCGUGAGUGACGGUAAUGGGUAAAGAAGCACCGGCUAACUACGUG